rnacentral:rRNA from 1 species
UUUCCCUACGGGACGCAGCAGUGGGGAAUAUUGCACAAUGGGGGAAACCCUGAUGCAGCGACGCCGCGUGAGUGAAGAAGUAUCUCGGUACGUAAAGCUCUUUCAGCAGGGAAGAAAAUGACGGUACCUGACCAAGAAGCCCCGGCUAACUACGUGCCAGCAGCCGCGGUAAUACGUAGGGGGCAAGCGUUAUCCGGAUUUACUGGGUGUAAAGGGAGCGUAGACGGGCCAGCAAGUCUG